rnacentral:rRNA from 1 species
AUUGAACGCUGGCGGCAGGCCUAACACAUGCAAGUCGAGCGGUAGAGAGGAGCUUGGCUUCUCUUGAGAGCGGCGGACGGGUGAGUAAUGCCUAGGAAUCUGCCUGGUAGUGGGGGAUAACGUUCGGAAACGGACGCUAAUACCGCAUACGUCCUACGGGAGAAAGUGGGGGAUCUUCGGACCUCACGCUAUCAGAUGAGCCUAGGUCGGAUUAGCUAGUUGGUGAGGUAAAGGCUCACCAAGGCGACGACGGGUAGCCGGCCUGAGAGGGUGACCGGCCACACUGGGACUGAGACACGGCCCAGACUCCUACGGGAGGCAGCAGUGGGGAAUAUUGCACAAUGGGCGCAAGCCUGAUGCAGCAACGCCGCGUGAGGGACGACGGCCUUCGGGUUGUAAACCUCUUUUAGUAGGGAAGAAGCGAAAGUGACGGUACCUGCAGAAAAAGCACCGGCUAACUACGUG